rnacentral:rRNA from 1 species
GACGAACGCUGGCGGCGUGCUUAAUACAUGCAAGUCGAACGGAAAGGCCCUGCUUUUGUGGGGUGCUCGAGUGGCGAACGGGUGAGUAACACGUGAGUAACCUGCCCUUGACUUUGGGAUAACUUCAGGAAACUGGGGCUAAUACCGGAUAGGAUCUCCUGCUGCAUGGUGGGGGUUGGAUAGUUUCGGCGGUUGGGGAUGGACUCGCGGCUUAUCAGCUUGUUGGUGGGGUAGUGGCUUACCAAAGCUUUGACGGGUAGCCGGCCUGAGAGGGUGACCGGCCACAUUGGGACUGAGAUACGGCCCAGACUCCUACGGGAGGCAGCAGUGGGGAAUAUUGCACAAUGGGCGGAAGCCUGAUGCAGCAACGCAGCGUGCGGGAUGACGGCCUUCGGGUUGUAAACAGCUUUCGCCUGUGACGAAGCGUGAGUGACGGUAAUGGGUAAAGAAGCACCGGCUAACUACGUG